AUUGAACGCUGGCGGCAUGCCUUACACAUGCAAGUCGAACGGCAGCGCGGACUUCGGUCUGGCGGCGAGUGGCGAACGGGUGAGUAAUGUAUCGGAACGUACCUUUCAGUGGGGGAUAACGUAGCGAAAGUUACGCUAAUACCGCAUAUUCUGUGAGCAGGAAAGCAGGGGAUCGCAAGACCUUGCGCUGAUUGAGCGGCCGAUAUCAGAUUAGCUAGUUGGUGAGGUAAAGGCUCACCAAGGCGACGAUCUGUAGCUGGUCUGAGAGGACGACCAGCCACACUGGAACUGAGACACGGUCCAGACUCCUACGGGAGGCAGCAGUGGGGAAUUUUGCGCAAUGGGGGAAACCCUGACGCAGCGACGCCGCGUGGAGGAUGACGGCCUUCGGGUUGUAAACUCCUGUCAGAAGGGACGAAAUCCCGCAAGGGACUGACGGUACCUUCAGAGGAAGCCCCGGCUAACUACGUG
rnacentral:rRNA from 1 species